UACGUAGGGUGCGAGCGUUAAUCGGAAUUACUGGGCGUAAAGCGUGCGCAGGCGGUUUUGUAAGCCAGAUGUGAAAUCCCCGGGCUUAACCUGGGAAUGGCAUUUGGGACUGCAAGGCUUGAGUGCGGCAGAGGAGACUGGAAUUCCUGGUGUAGCAGUGAAAUGCGUAGAUAUCAGGAGGAACACCGAUGGCGAAGGCAGGUCUCCUGGGCUGACACUGACGCUCAUGCCACGAAAGCGUGGGGAGC
rnacentral:rRNA from 1 species